CUGAAUACAGCUGAUAAGAUGUUCAGCUGAAUCUCUGGGGGCUGAAUUCAUCAGGAGGCAUGAAGUACACAGAGGACAGAGAGUACAGACUGUGGUAAUGGAGACUGCACACAAGUGCUGCUGCUUAUUAGCC